rnacentral:rRNA from 1 species
CCUCGGGUGGCAGCAGUUUCGAAUCAUUCACAAUGGGCGAAAGCCUGAUGGUGCGACGCCGCGUGAGGGAUGAAGGUCUUCGGAUUGUAAACCUCUGUCACUGGGGAGAAAACGCUUUGAGUUAAUAGUUCAAAGCCUGAUUUAACCCGGAGAGGAAGCAGUGGCUAACUCUGUGCCAGCAGCCGCGGUAAUACAGAGACUGCAAGCGUUGUUCGGAUUCACUGGGCGGACGGGUGGCGGUGUCAGAUGGGAAAUCCCGAGGCUUAACCUCGGAACUGCGUCUGAAACUACUCGACUAGAGUACUGGAGAGGGAAACGGAAUUCACGGUGUAGCAGUGAAAUGCGUAGAUAUCGUGAGGAACACCAGAGGCGAAGGCGGUUUCCUGGACAGUUACUGACGCUCAGGCACGAAAGCAUGGGGAGCAAAAGGGAUUAGAUACCCCAGUAGUC